GGGGAUAUAACUUAAUUGGUAGAGUAUAUGCUUUGCAAGCAUAAGGUUAUCGGUUCAAAUCCGAUUAUCUCCA
rnacentral:tRNA from 1 species